ensembl:lncRNA
GGAAACCCGUCCCCAGGGGCGACGUCCUAACGAAUCUAUCUCCUGUGCCGAAGAACCUUUUGCUUGAUAUAAGCUUUGUCAGGGGAAUGAGCCAAGAAACUCCGAGAGAAGGAAGUGUCCAGAUGGUCAUGACACCGGCUGUGGAAGGGGAUCCAAGCAGCAGCACAUCGGUGUUACUCGUGAAACCUUCGACACCACAUUCUGACACCUCGCUGAAGCCGCAAGCCUGAUGGGAAGGCUCCGCGUGCCUUCACUACCUGACCUUGAAACCAGCAAAGACCUUCAGAGACAAGCCCACACUCACCCUUCUGUUCUCCGUGGCUUCUGCCAGCUGCCUCGGAGGAAACGCGAGGCUGUGUGGCUGCUGACAUUGCGCCGCCCUCUCUUCUGUGAAGGUGAUCGAAGGCUUGGCAGGACGCAGCGCUUGGGGGGGCGCCUGUGCCCACCCCCACCAAAUUGCCAGCCGGCAGGAGAAGGGCAGGGAACACAGACCUCUGUCCUGCUAGGCUGCUCAUCACAGAUGCCCCUGACACUUCACAGCUAUUAGGAUAAAAGCGGAGUCUGCCAGCCCUGGCUUCACACGAUGGGGGAAUAAACAAUAGCUUGCAGAUUAAAUAACACAGGAUAUUUUAUAUUCUAGUUUGAGAGUUUAGCAGAAACUGAGAGCAUGAUAAAUAAAAAGGACUGCUCGCCUUUAAUAAAGC